rnacentral:snRNA from 1 species
GUGGUCUUUUCAGCAGCACACAAAUUAAACUGAAACAACACAGAAAAGGUUAGCAUGGCCUUUACGCAAGGAUGACAUGAAAAUACAGGAAGCAGUCCAUAUUUUU